AGUGAACGCUGGCGGCGUGCCUAAUACAUGCAAGUCGAACGGAGUGGCGCACGGGUGAGUAAUAUAUAGCUAACCUGCCCCUUGCUGGAGGACAACAGUUAGAAAUGACUGCUAAUACCCCAUAGUAAGGGAUGAGACUAUAUCGUACCAGCUAGUCGGUGGGGUAACGGCCUACCGAGGUUAUGACGCGUAACUGGUCUGAGAGGAUGAGCAGUCGCCUUGGAACGGAGACACCGUCCAAACACCUGCGGGAAGCAGCGGUAGGAAAUCUUGCGCAAUGGGGGAGAGCCUGGCGCGGCAACGCCGCGUGGAGGAUGACUCUUUUCGAAGCGUAAACUCCUUUUGUUAGGGGAACGGUACCUAACGAAUAAGCACCGGCUAACUCCGUGCCAGCAGCCGCGGUAAUAC
rnacentral:rRNA from 1 species